rnacentral:lncRNA from 1 species
CGAGCCUCGUGCUCUUCUCGAAUUUUCUUCCUUCUCAAUUUUCAUCUCGUGAGUGUAGCAACAUGAAUUAUAGCUUGUCAAGCAAUACAUUUUCUCAGCGUUGAGAAGAUUCUGCUCCAUUUUUUCUGAUUAUGGAUUCUGUUCAGAAGGAAGCCGAAUUUUAAGUCAUCGUUCUAGGAUAGUAUUUUAGUAUGAAAAUUUCCAGACCUAUAGAAAAUUUGAAAUACUUGCACCAUGAAUAUCCAGAUUCAGCUCCAUUUUCUCUGGUGGUAGAUCUCCAUGGAUGCUAUUGAGAAGGUACUUCUCAAAGUCCACGAGGACAAGGACAUCUUUCCACCGAAUGCCACCUGGUUUAUAACAAAAGCAUGAAAAACAAACAGGAAUUUCUCAAUGCAGAAAGGACUGAAGCUGUCAAAGGUGUGCUUUUUUUCUGCACAAACAAGUUUCCAUUGAAUGAUAGAAUAAAGAGAUACUGACUUCCCCGGAGCCUCCAAACUUGAGUAGUCAGGCAUUGGGAUCCGUGGAAGGCUUGUUAAAUCCAAAUAGAUUGGUCCUACUCCAUCCGCAGAGUUGCUGACGAGGUGCGUCCAGGCCUUCUCCUCACCUCUCAGGGAGAUAUACCAUGCAGUGCCUUCAGUUAUGGUGUUGUGACUGAGGAUGCUUCGGUCAGACAUGUCCCUGAAAACCUGCAUAGAGUUUAAGAACACAGAUGAAAAAUCACCAAGUAAAAAAGGAGCAUAGGGAGGAAUCCAGGAGAAACCAGGCUCAAGCUUCCAGCCACCCUCUUCCAGUGGAGUCAAGUGCACUGCACUUAAUUCUCCCAGCCAGGUGUGCGGCCACCUGUGCCAAGUGUUCCCAACCAGCUGCACUUCAAGGGAAGUUAUUGAAUAUGUCCUAUCCAACUAAAACAAGGAAAUGAUGAAAAAAAUAAAAUCACUUUCCAGAGGCCUCAGGGCUAACUGGAGACAGAGCUCAGACUGCAACUGAGAAAAGUUGGACUCCAAAACCUGUACUCUGAGCUUUACUGCAUGAGAAAGUUAUUGAAAUGUGCCUUGUGACAUUCAGAAUAAGUGACUUUUCAGAGGUCUCAGAGUCAGUAAGAGACAGAACUCAGAUUGUAACCAAGAAGAGCUGAACUCCAAACUUCUGUGUCCGGAAUUGGUGGGUUCUUGGUCUCACUGACUUCAAGAAUGAAGCGGCAGACCCUCGCGG